rnacentral:Y_RNA from 1 species
GGCUGGCCCAAUGGUAGUGGGUUAUCAGAACUUAUUAACAUUAGUGUCACUAAAGUUGGUAUACAACCCUCCACUGCUAAAUUUGACUGACUUUAA